rnacentral:rRNA from 1 species
UACGAAGGUGGCAAGCGUUGUUCGGAUUUACUGGGCGUACAGGGAGCGUAGGCGGUUGGGUAAGCCCUCCGUGAAAUCUCCGGGCCUAACCCGGAAAGGGCGGAGGGGACUGCUCGGCUAGAGGAUGGGAGAGGAGCGCGGAACUCCCGGUGUAGCGGUGAAAUGCGUAGAGAUCGGGAGGAAGGCCGGUGGCGAAGGCGGCGCUCUGGAACAUUUCUGACGCUGAGGCUCGAAAGCGUGGGGAGCAAACAGGAUUAGAUACCCUGGUAGUCCACGCCUUAAACGAUGGAUACUCAGUGUCGGCGGGUUACCGCCGGUGCCGCAGCUAACGCAUUAACUAUCCCGCCUGGUAAGUACGGCCGCAAGGUUGAAUCUCAAAGGAAUUGACGG